GGUGAGUAACGCGUAGGGUAUCUGCCUCUAUCCCCGGCAUAACGAUGAGAAAUCGUCGCUAAUACCGGAUGAGGUACAUGUAUCANAGGUUUCGACCGGAUAGAGAUGAGCCUGCGCCUGAUUAGCUAGUUGGUAAGGUAACGGCUUACCAAGGCGACGAUCAGUAGCUGGUCUGAGAGGACGAUCAGUCACACUGGAACUGAGACACGGUCCAGACUCCUACGGGAGGCAGCAGUGAGGAAUAUUGGUCAAUGGGGGAAACCCUGAACCAGCGACGCCGCGUGUGGGAUGAAUGGGCUCUGCCCUGUAAACCACUGUUAGUAGGGAAAAAAUAUCCGCUCAGCGGAUGGGGAUUGUACCUGCAGAGAAAGGAUCGGCUAACUACGUGCCAGCAGCCGCGGUAAUACGUAGGAUCCAAGCGUUGUCCGGAAUUACUGGGUAUAAAGGGUGCGUAGGCGGGCUUGUGCGUCAGGGGUUAAAUGCCACGGCUUAACCGUGGACCAGCCCUUGAUACGGCAGGCCUUGAGUGUGAGAGAGGAUAGUAGAAUUCCUGGUGUAGCGGUGAAAUGCGUAGAUCUCAGGAGGAAUACCGGUGGCGAAGGCGGCUAUCUGGCUCACUACUGACGCUGAGGCACGAAAGCGUGGGGAGCGAACAGGAUUAGAUACCCUGGUAGUCCACGCCCUAAACGAUGUAUGCUUGGUGUUGCGCGCGCAAGCGCUCAGUGCCGGAGGUAAUCCGUUUAGCAUACCACCUGGGGAGUACGAUCGCCAGUUUAAACUCAAAGGAUUGACGGGGGCCCGCAAAGCGGUGGAGCAUGUGGU
rnacentral:rRNA from 1 species